GAGUCUAACAAAAAGAACUCCCAAACUAAUGGAGCCAAGAGCUACUCAGACAAAGCUAUGUUGAAGAGCCAAUAAGCUCACCAAUCUAAGUGUGAAGGGCCAAAUAGCUCAAACUAUUCUAAAUCAAGUGUGGUGGCCAAUAAGCCAAUAAGUUAAGAAGGAUGCCAAUUAGCCUACAUCAAGCUAUGUACUAUUCUCUUCCAAUAUAAUAAAUCACUUUGUUCAACUAUUGUACUAUUGUCCUAAAUCCCUUCACGCAUAAACCAACAAUGGUAUCAGAGCAUCACAAACACUAAUCUCACCUACUAUAUUCCAACACCUUCCUUGUCUUCCCACACGUGACACAUCCAUCUUGACAUUCUCAUUUCUUCCACUCAUUUUAUGAACAUGUUGUUUUCUAAGUGCCAUAUAGCAUGGCUGGUCUACCAAUUUAUGCAGAGAAUGCUUUGGAGAUAUGAGGGAAACCUUGAAAAAGGCUUAGGGAUCAUAAAACUUAGGGAACAUUUUAAGAUAAUUAUAAAGAAAGUACAUUAAUGCCUAUUUCAUGAAUAUAAUUGUAUGUCAAGCUCCAUUAUGAAAAGUUAUGUCAUAACGAAUGCACUAUGCUUUAUCCAGUAAUAGACAGCAUAAAUCUCCUUACUAAAUAACUAAAGACUAGACUUUGGAAGAGAAGCUUACACUUCUUUUUUCGUCCAAGUAGGCACGGGUCCGGUCAGCAAGUUUCCAGUUAAGAAUCUAAACAUAAUUGGUACAGGAAAAACGGCAUAAAUUACUAGAAAGGGGUAUAAACAAAAGCAAUGAAUUACUAGAAUGCUAAGCAUGAUUAACACGACCAGCUUGUAGGGCAGGGUUGUGACAAAGCCAUUGAAGAAUGUCUGCUUGAGUUUUCUUGUAAUAAAGUCAAGAUUUGUUAUUCAAAUUGCUUACAUAUAUUUCACUUCUGCCAGAGCAACAAAGCGGCUUGGAAUUUCCCCGGUUAGCUUGUUAAAGCUGAGGUCUCUGCACAAACCAGUAACAAAUGCAUUUCAGAUAUGCUCCCCC
rnacentral:lncRNA from 1 species